rnacentral:rRNA from 1 species
CUACGGGGGGCACCAGUGGGGAAUAUUGCACAAUGGAGGAAACUCUGAUGCAGCAACGCCGCGUGGAGGAUGACACUUUUCGGAGCGUAAACUCCUUUUAUAUAGGAAGAUAAUGACGGUACUAUAUGAAUAAGCACCGGCUAACUCCGUGCCAGCAGCCGCGGUAAUACGGAGGGUGCAAGCGUUACUCGGAAUCACUGGGCGUAAAGGGCGUGUAGGCGGGUUAAUAAGUCAGAAGUGAAAUCCUAUGGCUCAACCAUAGAACUGCUUUUGAAACUGUCAACCUAGAGUGUGGGAGAGGUAGAUGGAAUUUCUGGUGUAGGGGUAAAAUCCGUAGAGAUCAGAAGGAAUACCGAUUGCGAAGGCGAUCUACUGGAACAUAACUGACGCUGAGACGCGAAAGCGUGGGGAGCAAACAGGAUUAGAUACCCUAGUAGUC